rnacentral:rRNA from 1 species
ACUCCUGCGGGAGGCAGCAGUGGGGAAUAUUGCACAAUGGGCGCAAGCCUGAUGCAGCCAUGCCGCGUGUAUGAAGAAGGCCUUCGGGUUGUAAAGUACUUUCAGCGGGGAGGAAGGCGAUAAGGUUAAUAACCUUGUUGAUUGACGUUACCCGCAGAAGAAGCACCGGCUAACUCCGUGCCAGCAGCCGCGGUAAUACGGAGGGUGCAAGCGUUAAUCGGAAUUACUGGGCGUAAAGCGCACGCAGGCGGUCUGUCAAGUCGGAUGUGAAAUCCCCGGGCUCAACCUGGGAACUGCAUUCGAAACUGGCAGGCUAGAGUCUUGUAGAGGGGGGUAGAAUUCCAGGUGUAGCGGUGAAAUGCGUAGAGAUCUGGAGGAAUACCGGUGGCGAAGGCGGCCCCCUGGACAAAGACUGACGCUCAGGUGCGAAAGCGUGGGGAGCAAACAGGAUUAGAUACCCGGGUAGUCCCAUGA